UUAAUUUUCUUAUCAGAAUUUAGCUAUUAUUUUUGAAUAAUUUCAAAAAGGGAAAAUAUUAGUUAAAUCCAACGUGAUAAAAAUGAGCAUUUCCAAAUUAGCCAGGGCCACAACGCCAAGCCAAAGAAACGCUGCCCUCGCCAGAUACACGAGUGAUGAGUGCCUGUCAUGACCCGGAGGUGGACAUCUCGGCAAUUGUCAAAUGACAUUUUAAAAUACGUACCAUCUUUAGAAACAAACCGCAGAAUUGAGUUUUAAACAACUACAUUCUCGCUUGAACAACCGUUAAAACUUUAUUUUAUGGUACAUUUAGAGCAAUAUUUGAUUAUUGUAUUGGUUCUGUUCAGUACUUGUGUGGGAUUGAAUCAGAUUGAACUGUUUGCUGGGAGAUCGGGGAUCUUUUUAUCGCACUAAACCUUAUACUCAUCUGCAUGUAUUGUGUACUAUAGCUAGUGUAUAAAUGCAUGUGGCUGCGUUACAAUGAAAUGCUAAUCAAUCAUAUUAAUGUUUUACGUUAUUAUACAAAAAGGCAAUCUGUUUCGGGUGGCAUCCGACUCUUACAAUUCAUUUAAGAGAGCCGAUUCCUAGAACCGAACCGAGUCAUUUGACUCUUUCAUCAGACAACACAGAAAGCCUGCAUUGUGAACUUGUCAUGGUCUCAUCCAAAGCAAUUUAUCGGUAAGUGUUGAAAUGUCCAACUCUUUUAAUUAAAUGAUUGUUAUAUAUAUUUCUGUAUAGCACGUAAUUCACCAAGUAACUUUAGCUACUUUUGUCACGUUGUUUAUUAACAGACGGUUUUAGCACAUUUAUAAACGAAGUUAACAGAAGGUGUUUGUAACGUUAAUGCUAAUUUUGAGGUAUUAGACACUGUUUGAGUUUUUAAAAAAUGAAUUUUCUGUUAACUUAGAGUUAACUGUGUUCUAUUUCAGCACCACAUUGAGUUAAAGUGACCACAGAGGUUUAGUGAGCACUGAGGAAUAAAGUAACGUAAGCGAGGUAAGCACUGGCCUUCAUUUCAUUAUGACCCUCAUUAUCAAACCAUAACAAAAAUGAUAUUGUCUAACGCUAUUUACUAAUUAGAACUUCUUGUAUAGUGUCAAAGAGACAGACCAGAUGCAUCAACCGGCAAGUCUGUAUCAGGAAACAUGACUGACCACGAAUGGAUAACUGUCUAGGUUGCAAGCAGGAGAUACAUGUUACAUGAGUGCUGUAUUUGAGAGAGAAGCCACUGUGCACUGUGGACCUUUAAAGCUGCUGAGGAGCUCUUGGAGUAGACAGAGAUCUGAGACUAAAGUGUUGUUGGACAAUGAAAAACUGACAGGAACUAAACAGCUUGUGAUGGCAGUAAUGUUGACAUGAACGGGGCCUUUUACAAGUGAUUGCCUAAAGACACCAUCAUCAUCAUCAUUAUCAUCAUCAUCAUCAUCAUCAUCUUCGAAGGUGUUAAAAGUUCUAAUAAACCUUAUCUUUACUAGGCUCAAGCCCCAGCUGGACUGUUUUGGCCCAAGGUAUCCGAUCAAGUGACUGUUGAAAUGCGACUGGCCCUAGCGCAUUGGCACGCUAACUUAAGGCGCAAGAGUGGAAACACAGCUCUUGACUACAUUUCCAGAGCUUGUGUCCUCCUGGGUUUGACCUAUGCAUUUUAGUUGUGACUAAGAAUGGUGUUUUACAAGUGACUGUCUAGUAAACACUGAAAGAGAUUAAAGGGUAGUAUUAUCAUGAACUGCUGUGUCCUCUUUGCCUCAAUGAAUUCAUUCAUUAUUCAGGCAAACAAUACUUUUCAUGCAUUAAAUCAGAUAAAUUUCACUUUAAGUGUAUUGUUUUAAACAAUAUUGUUUAAUGUCCAGUUGUUUAAAACUAUGCUGUUUAAAAACAUUAUCAGAGUCUUAGUUAUGAUUAUUAGUUUGUUUAAAUGUACAGUUUUUAUUGUGUAUAAUAUGAAGAGAUUGUUGUUAUUCUGUUUUGUGGCUCCACACUGCUCAACAGGCUCCGCUAAUUUGAGCUAAAAUCAAUUAAAUUUUACUCUGUCCAUACUUGUUGAAUUUAAUUAAUAUUGCUUGUAAUGUUACCUCAAUUUUAUUGUGUAGACAAAGUAUUAUUGUCUAGAGUUGAUGAACAGG